CCAUAUUCCCCACUUCCACCGCAACCGCACCCCCACUCACCUCUUCUCUUCUUGUUAGUUUUUAUCCAUAUUCCCCAUUUGGAUAUAAAAACAUAAAAGCCAAUUUUUAGACUUUUUAUCGUAAAUUCUUAGACUUUCCAAAUCCAUGAAGAUAUUCUCAGCUUUUACAACCAACAUGAUUUUAUAAGCCACGUAUCAGUUAUCCUAUCUUUUUCUCCUUUUUCUCUUUUUCUUCUUUUCUUUAUCAUAAAUUUAUGAAUAAAAAUUGAUUUAUAAUAAUUCUAUUAUUAUGAUUAUUAUUUUUUUUUCACGUAAUCAAAUUUUUAUAAAUUUUUUUACUAAACAAAUAAACUUAAAUUAGAUGUCACUUUUUAUAGUAAAUUUUUGGACUUUCCAAAUCCAAGGAGACGUUCUCGACUUUCACAACCAACAUACUUUCAUAAGCCACUUAUCAAUCAUCCCAUUUUUCUUCUCCUUCUUUUUCUCCUUUCCUUCUUUUCCUUUUUUUUUUUUCCCUCUUCUCUGUGUCUCUUUUCCCCAUCAAACCCAUAUUCCCCGUUUCCUUCUUUUCUCUUUUCCUUCUUUUUCCAUUUUUUUUAUUCUUCUUUUUAUUUCUUUUCCCCUAUCAAACCCAUAUUCCCCACUUCCACCGCAACCGCACCCCCACUCACCUCUUAUCUUCUUCUCCCAUUUUUUUCUUGUUUUUAUUUAUUUUCUUUUUUUCCUCAUGCUUUUUUCCACGCUAAUACCCAUGGAUUGUGAGACCCAUCUCACCAUCUCUCCCCCUCCCCGUUGCUGCUGAUCGUGGUCGUCUUUUCUCUUGGCGGUCGCCGAUCUUGCUUGCUCCUCUGCAAUAAUCAACCAACCAUCUGAAUUCAUUCUGCAAUUUGGAGCUCCUCAGGCACAUACAUCAGGACAGAUGUCGGGGCAGGUACCUAAUCAAGCUGGAAGUCAGUUGCGCGGAUUGCCACAGCAAAAUGGAAGUUCUCUCCCUUCCCAGAUUCAAAAUCUAGAUGCACAUCGUAAUACACGGAAAAGUAUGCAACGCAAAAUCUAUGAAUAUAUUAUACAGCGACAGUCAUCUCCCCACGAUCUUCAACCGAAGAGGGUGGCAGAUAUUGUUAGGCGCUUGGAUGAUGUUUUAAAUUUUCUGUGUAUUGUGUUGUUUCGAUAAAUUCUCAAUCUUUAUUAAUAUUCUUAUUGUUUUUUUAUGGCCCAUCAUUACUCCGUUCAUUAAAAGCUAGUAUCAAAGCAAGAUAGAAUAUGGUGACUAUAAUGCUUGAUGUCAAGAAGUUCUCAGGAGACAACAACUUCAAUUUAUGGAAGAUGGUGUGUUCAUCAUUCUCUAGUUUACUCCUUUUAUCAAAUUGAAACAUUUACC
rnacentral:lncRNA from 1 species